rnacentral:rRNA from 1 species
UGGGGAAUAUUGCACAAUGGGCGAAAGCCUGAUGCAGCGACGCCGCGUGAGGGAUGACGGCCUUCGGGUUGUAAACCUCUUUCAGCAGGGACGAAGCGCAAGUGACGGUACCUGCAGAAGAAGCACCGGCUAACUACGUGCCAGCAGCCGCGGUAAUACGUAGGGUGCAAGCGUUGUCCGGAAUUACUGGGCGUAAAGAGUUCGUAGGCGGUUUGUCGCGUCGUUUGUGAAAACCAGCAGCUCAACUGCUGGCUUGCAGGCGAUACGGGCAGACUUGAGUACUGCAGGGGAGACUGGAAUUCCUGGUGAAGCGGUGAAAUGCGCAGAUAUCAGGAGGAACACCGGUGGCGAAGGCGGGUCUCUGGGCAGUAACUGACGCUGAGGAACGAAAGCGUGGGUAGCGAACAGG